AUGAAAUUCUGCACUAUAUCUUCAAUUUUCCAUCAUUGUCGACGUUGUUCAUCCACCGUAGAACGGGUAACAAGAACUUUCUUGUUAAGAUCACUUUUAGGUGCAAUACUACCAAGGCCUUUAAGGUGGAAAAGAUUGUGUACCUUUCGAGCAAUAAGGACACCACAAAUGGCUCCCAAUGUAAAUGUAAAAAAUGCCUUCAACAUACUUUUAGAUAGAAAACACAAAUGA